rnacentral:rRNA from 1 species
GACGAACGCUGGCGGCGUGCUUAACACAUGCAAGUCGAACGGAAAGGCCUCUUUCGGGGGGUACUCGAGUGGCGAACGGGUGAGUAACACGUGAGUAACCUGCCCUUGACUUUGGGAUAACUUCAGGAAACUGGGGCUAAUACCGGAUAGGAGCUCCUGCUGCAUGGUGGGGGUUGGAAAGUUUCGGCGGUUGGGGAUGGACUCGCGGCUUAUCAGCUUGUUGGUGGGGUAGUGGCUUACCAAGGCUUUGACGGGUAGCCGGCCUGAGAGGGUGACCGGCCACAUUGGGACUGAGAUACGGCCCAGACUCCUACGGGAGGCAGCAGUGGGGAAUAUUGCACAAUGGGUGGAAGCCUGAUGCAGCAACGCCGUGUGCGGGAUGACGGCCUUCGGGUUGUAAAACGCUUUCGCUCAUGACGAAGCUUUGUGUGACGGUAGUGGGUAAAGAAGCACCGGCUAACUACGUG